ACUGCCCAACAUGGGCACCUGCUCUCUGGAUAUCUGACUCCAGCAGGCGUCAUUUCCCACCACAGCGAUCACAGGAGUCUGGCAGAGAAAUUACUGGGGGAAAAAACAACGACAACUUCCUCCCACUAUAACGUAAUAAGAAAAGAAUCACUUUCUGAAUGCAUCAUCACCUCAGACAGCGAAGCCCUCCACCUUAUGCCUGGUGAAGGUGUCAAAUUCUGCAACGCUGUAGCCAAGGGAACCGUCACCGUACACAAUCCACACCUGUA